GAUGAACGCUGGCUACAGGCUUAACACAUGCAAGUCGAGGGGAAACGACGGGGAAGCUUGCUUCCCCGGGCGUCGACCGGCGCACGGGUGAGUAACGCGUAUCCAACCUGCCUCUGACUGAGGGAUAACCCGUCGAAAGUCGGCCUAAUACCUCAUGGCAUCGUCUGCGGGCAUCCAACGACGAUUAAAGAUUUCAUCGGUCAGAGAUGGGGAUGCGUCUGAUUAGCUUGUUGGCGGGGUAACGGUCCACCAAGGCGACGAUCAGUAGGGGUUCUGAGAGGAAGGCCCCCCACAUUGGAACUGAGACACGGUCCAAACUCCUACGGGAGGCAGCAGUGAGGAAUAUUGGUCAAUGGGCGAGAGCCUGAACCAGCCAAGUAGCGUGCAGGAUGACGGCCCUAUGGGUUGUAAACUGCUUUUAUGCGGGGAUAAAGUGAGGGACGUGUCCUUCAUUGCAGGUACCGCAUGAAUAAGGACCGGCUAAUUCCGUG
rnacentral:rRNA from 1 species